CUGUUCGAGCGUCAUUAUGACCAAUCACGCCCCGUGCGUGGACUUGGGGUUCGCGAUUCUGCGCCCCCUAAAUCUAGUGGCGGUGCCGCUGGGCUCUAAGCGUAGUAAUUCUUCUCGCUACAGGGUCUUGUAGUUGCCUGCCAUAACCCCAACUUUCUUAGGUUGACCUCGGAUCAGGUAGGGAUACCCGCUGAACUUAA
rnacentral:misc_RNA from 1 species